GACGAACGCUGGCGGCGUGCUUAACACAUGCAAGUCGAACGGAAAGGCCCUGCUUUUGUGGGUUGCUCGAGUGGCGAACGGGUGAGUAACACGUGAGUAACCUGCCCUUGUCUUUGUGAUAACUUCAGGAAACUGGGGCGAUUAUCGGAGAGAAGCUCCUGCUGCAUGGGGGGGGUUGGAAAGUGUCGGCGGUAGUGGCUGGUCUCGCGGCUUAUCAGCUUGUUGGUGGGGUAGUGGCUUACAAAGGCUUUGACGGGUAGCCGGCCUGAGAGGGUGACCGGCUACAUUGCGCCUGAGAUACGGCGCAGACUCCAACGGGAGGCAGCAGUGGGGAAUAUUGCAGAAUGGGCGGAAGCCUGAUGCAGCAACGCCGCGUGCGGGAUGAUGGCCUUCGGGUUGUAAACCGCUUUCGCAUGUGCCGAAGCGUGAGUGACGGUAAUGGGUAAAAAAGCACCGGCUAACUACGUG
rnacentral:rRNA from 1 species